AGUCCCCCUGACCGGGGCCUGUCCGUAGCGGGUGCGAGGCCCAUAGCCGCCGCGGCCGUCCCGAAUGCGAUCUCCUCGGAGUCGGGUUGCUUGGGAGUGCAGCCCCAAUAGGGUGGUAAACUCCACCUAAGGCUAAAUACCGCCGUGAGACCGAUAGCAAACAAGUACCGUGAGGGAAAGUUGCAAAGAACUUUGAAGAGAGAGUUCAAGAGUACGUGAAACUGCUCAGAGGUAAACGGGUGGGCCCUCGAAAUCCUGUGGCGAGAGGAUUCAGUCUGUUGCGGCGGACGUUCUCGGAGGAAGAAACCGAGCAGGGCUUCCGCGGGACCGCGGGCCGUCCUCCGGAACGACCUCAACCGCCUCGGACGCAUUUGUCUCUCGUCCCUAGGACGCUGCAGCCGGUUCGGAAGUGCAAGCGCGACGGCCUGAGGGUCGGGAGCAGGAAGGUGGCCGGUGGCCCGCCGCGUGCGGGUCGCCGGUUGUUAGCCGUCCCGACAGUGGCACGUCUCCGGACCGUGGUGUCGCGAGCCCCCUCGGGGGCUCCUCGUCUCCUCCCCCUCUCGACAGACGCGGGACAGGGCCGGGCCAGGAUCCUUCGCGCCGACCGUCGCAGUCCCACGGAGUGGGCGGACGGGCGCGGGAGCCGCAUCGCCCGGACGGAUCCGCGGGGGGAACGGAGGCUGGCAGCGAGUAGGUCGGUCACCCACCCGACCCGUCUUGAAACACGGACCAAGGAGUCUAACAUGUGCGCGAGUCAGUGGGUCUUGAACAGGCCCACGGGCGCAAUGAAAGCGAAGGGCUCCCGAGCGGAGUCUGAGCGGGGAUCCCCGGCGGACCAGUCCCCGGGGCGCACCCGCGACCCGUCCCAUCCGGCUCGCCGGCGGGGCGGAGUCUGAGCGCACGCGUUGGGACCCGAAAGAUGGUGAACUAUGCCCGGACAGGACGAAGCCAGGGGAAACUCUGG
rnacentral:rRNA from 1 species